GCUACACUGAAGCAGCCAAGGGGUGGAACCCUGUUUGCUCAAACUGAGAAGGGCUCUCAGGACACCUCGCCACGGCUGAGGUCAGGGUCUGGUGCAGGGUCCAGACGGGAAACCCAGAGGUGGCAGUAAAAUGCCCCGAGAGUCACGUGUUGUUUGUGGUGACCACGAGGCCAAGGCAGUAAAGAGCGCAUCCCCUCCCCAAGACGGCUCUGCGGAUUCCCCCAGGAAGAGCCCUCCCCAGCUCCUUCCUGUCCCACUGGCCCCUCGACCGUUCCUCCUGCCGGGGGGCCUCACGGCCCAGGAGGGUAUAAAGGGCCCAGAGGAGGGUGCCCAGGCACGAGACUCCCAGCACCAGGACGGGACUACAGGACUCCACAGGCCCGGAGCCCUGGACUCUCCAGCCAGAAGCCAUGCUGCUGUGGCUGACCCUCGCCCUCCUGUGGAGCCCCACCUGCUGGAGACAUUUGGGCCUGGAGGAGGUACCUAUUUCAGUACCUCUAGAGACUUCCAGACAAUAUCACCGGGAUUUGAGAGUUUACGGGUCAUUUUGGCUGUGUUAGAAGGUGAGACACUGCUCCUCCUGGAGUAACUUAUAUGGAGCUCAAGGUCUGAACCCUCAGGAAUUCCACCUGCAGAAAGGUGAACACAUUUCAGGCGUCCUCGGCUCCUUCAGGCAUUUCCUCUCCUACUUGGUUGUACACACCAGCCUACGGCCCUUCAUCCGGUUUGGAUGUCCGCAUGGCCAGUUCUUUAUCGCCUCCCCUGAUGGCAGCCAGAAGGCGCUCACUGGAGUCUACGGACAGUACACGGUUCAGGGCAUUUCCAGCAUCGGCUCUGACUGGGAUUACCCUUCAAGUUGAAGCAAAUAGCAC
ensembl:lncRNA